GAAACCGUUCAGGGGUAAACCUGAGAAACCCAAAAGAUCGAAUGGGGAGAUUCAUCGUCAACGGCGCUGGCUCCCGUUGGUGCGCGAUGCUCCGAAUGGACCCUCGAGGUUCAUUAGCGAGGGCACACCACCUUCGGCGGAGCGUUCCGGUGCCCGUAGUCGUGCACUUCUCCCCUAGUAGAACGUCGCGACCCGUUGUGUGUCGGUCUACGGCCCGAGAGGGCGCCUGUCGCGUCGCCCAGUGCGCACACGGCAGACCCUCGGUCGCCUGGCCGGCUGCACGACGGUACUCGCACGGUAUCGGGCCGCAACCAACCCAUUCUCGAAUGUGUGUGCGUCCGUCCCGCCGCAAGCUCGGUCAGUUUAACCCGGAGGUACGGACCUGGUGCCGUCCCCGGGCCUGGCCAGCUGUUAGCAGUGCGGGUAUCCUCGGACUGGCCAAGCCUCGAAUUACCGGUCGGCGACGCUAUUGCUUUGGGUACUCUCAGGACCCGUCUUGAAACACGGACCAAGGAGUCUAACAUGUGCGCGAGUCAUUGGGAUUGAUUAAACCUAAAGGCGCAAUGAAAGUGAAGAUCGACCUUCGCGUCGAUAGAGGGAGGAUGGGCCGCGUUACGAUGCGGCCCCGCACUCCCGGGGCGUCUCGUUCUCAUUGCGAGAAGAGGCGCACCUAGAGCGUACACGUUGGGACCCGAAAGAUGGUGAACUAUGCCUGGUCAGGACGAAGUCAGGGGAAACCCUGAUGGAGGUCCGUAGCGAUUCUGACGUGCAAAUCGAUCGUCGGAACUGGGUAUAGGGGCGAAAGACUAAUCGAACCAUCUAGUAGCUGGUUCCCUCCGAAGUUUCUCUCAGGAUAGCUGGCACUCGAUCGUUCCUAUGUGAACACAUGAGAGUCUCAUCUGGUAAAGCGAAUGAUUAGAGGCCUUGGGGCCGAAACGACCUCAACCUAUUCUCAAACUUUAAAUGGGUGAGAUCUCUGGCUUGCUUGCAUCAUGAAGCCACGAGAUUUUGGAUCAGAGUGCCAAGUGGGCCAAUUUUGGUAAGCAGAACUGGCGCUGUGGGAUGAACCAAACGCAGAGUUAAGGCGCCCAAGUCAACGCUUAUGGGAUACCAUGAAAGGCGUUGGUUGCUUAAGACAGCAGGACGGUGGCCAUGGAAGUCGGAAUCCGCUAG
rnacentral:rRNA from 1 species